GUGCCAGCCGCCGCGGUAAUACGGAGGGUGCAAGCGUUGUUCGGAAUUACUGGGCGUAAAGAGCGUGUAGGCGGUAUGAUAAGUCAGGUGUGAAAGCCCUGGGCUUAACCCAGGAAGUGCAUUUGAUACUGUCAUUCUUGAGUAUGGGAGAGGAGAGUGGAAUUCCUAGUGUAGAGGUGAAAUUCGUAGAUAUUAGGAGGAACAUCCGUGGCGAAGGCGACUCUCUGGACCAAUACUGACGCUGAGACGCGAAAGCGUGGGGAGCAAACAGGAUUAGAAACCCCAGUAGUCC
rnacentral:rRNA from 1 species